rnacentral:lncRNA from 1 species
CGUCAACAGACGGAAGGGCAGGAGAACAUGUCAGGACGUCCCGUAACGUUGCUGAAAGCUCUUCAGCAGUGCUGGGGAUCCAGUGCACCCUCGUGCAGAGGUCAUGCAGCAGUCGAACGUGGUCUCCAAGAAUUCCGGAGACAUCACACAGCAGCCUGAGCUGUGGCGAGGAGAGGGGGAGGACGUUGUCCCCCCUGGGGGAGCAGGAGAUGAAGGACGAUGGCAGGGAAGUGAUGAGUGGACCGUGGAGAGGACGAGACAGAAGGAGACCCCCGUCCUGUUCUGGCAGUAGGGGAGGGCUCCUUCAGAAAGGACCUCGGAGGCCAAGUACUGCACCUGCAGACACCGGCCUCCAGAGACCAGGCCAGGACCUACCAGAAACUCCCAGGUGCGCAGUGGUCAGGAGCUCCAGAGAUGGUCUGGGGAAAUCCGUGUCCCUUUCCGCCCUCCACCUGUACCUGCCCUCGUCGUCCGAUGCGGCGGAGAAGGAGCGGGAGGCAGCACAGGGGAGGUCCAUCCGUGACCUCGCUGAAGACCGGUGUCUGGGGAGGAGAUCAGAAACGCAGAGCGACGCAGACGUUGCUGCAGACCAGGCGCAGCAAGAUCAGACGGAGAACAGACCACGGGAGUACGGCCCAGAGACCCCAACACCACGGGUCUUCACAUGGAGCCAAACGCUGGAGGACUCGGAGGGUGCCAAGAACAACACAGCAGACAAAAAUGCACAACGAGAGCAGGACGAGAGCACGGACAAACCAAAUAGGGGGGAAGAAGAUCAAGAGGACUGCGCAAACCAAACAGAGAAGAACCAUCUCAGUGAAGAUGACCAGGGCUACACUGGACAAGCAGUAAACAAGGCAGAGCAAUGCGCCGUUCUUCAUGCUGUAGGCCCCGAGAAUCCUUCUGCUAGUCUAGACCAGGGCAAGCGUGGAUGUGGAAUGGACUCAACGGCAGAAGGUGAGGGACGAGGGACCCAGGGAUCAAAAAUCCUCACCACAAGGGUCCACAUUCUCACCUCGGCCCCAUCAUUCUUCUGGAGAGUCAUGGACUUGACAGCCAUCGCCUCAACUGCUAUUCUGCCGUCGUCUCAUGGACCCGGCUCUGUCUACAGGUCGACCUCCAGAGAUGUCCCUCAUGGAAGAACGAAGAACAGAGUUCACUCCAGUCUCCUGUAUCCCCGGAAGGAGGCAGGGAAAGUUCUAGAUCCCCGGCUGACAGUCAGGGGCACUGAGAUCAUCCCACUUCCCAAAUCAAAAAAAAACCCAAGGCUCUGUAUGGGGGUCCUAGGGGACCAGGAGUCCACAGAACGUCCAAUUCCAGGCUGAAGAUAACGGUCAUUAAAAUAAAAACCAUUGAGCCAGUGGUUCUCCA